UUAGCGGAAGCAUAAGCCAUGAUGCUAGUUUCUUGUUCAAAUUUUUCCAUGUCCUCCUUAAACAUUACCACCAAUGCUUCUAUUCCUUCGCCGUCACUUGUGCUUGAUAAAAUAGCAAUAUCAGGUAACAAUAUGGGCCCGAGACUAAACCAAACAGGCUUCCCCCAACCAAAAUCAACUUCAUAACAAGGCAAUCCAACCACACUAGUCAAAGGAAAUGACCUUGAAUCUUCCCAUGCUUCAUACAAAUCCUUAAUGAAAUCUAAAUACUCAUCAUUAUUCAUCACAUCUCUUCCCAUUCUCUUGGCUUUUACCACUUCUCUUACUAAAUUUGUUACCUCUAUGGCAUCAUCCUCGGCUAGUGACCAUUCUGCCCUUACAAGCCGAAAAAUGUUACCCAUGCAUCGUGGAAACAUUGGUGGAUUCAUCUUGUUACGCAAAUUCAUAGUAUAAUACAUUGAAUGAGAGUACAACAUGUUAUCAGUUGUCCUCUUUCUUUCACGCGCUACAGCGAUGGAGGCACCCCAAAUGAGUGCUGAAACAACCCCGAAACGCGUUGCUUGUAACACGUAAUCGUCAGAAUUGUUAUCAGCCAUUAAUUCUUUAUUCACCUUCUCCUUUAGAGUUGCUAUCUUCUUGCCUUCGAACAAUAAUCUUUUGAACACAAUCUUGCGUGCAGAUUGUGGGCUUGGGAUCUGAUACUGCUGUGGGAACUUUACUGGCGGAAACAGAGAGGUGCAAUCUAAAACGAUAUUGUUAUUGCAAAUAUUAUCAUUAUCAUUAAUCACCCCACGAGCAAUUUCACCCCAGGUUUUCAUGAAGUUAAAGAUUGCCGAACCGUCGGCCACUCCAUGAGAAAAACAAACACCAAUUGCCAUUUCACCGCUGUUGAACAGAUUUACUUGGACAGCCAAAAGUUCUCUUUCAGAAAUCUCUAAAUUCGAUAAUUGGGGACUAGGUGGGAUUAAUUGUUGCAGCAGCUCCAUAUCUGGUGGUUGAAGAAACUUUGAUAUAUCACAGCCAACAUUUGCUUCAAUAAAUGCAGCCCCAUGAUCAUUACAGUCGACCGAAAAACCAUCAAUGAAUCUUCCAGCAAAGGGGUAGUAGUGGGUUAAUGUUGUUGCGAGAGAUUGCUUCAAUAAAUCAGAUUUUUUUCUGAAAUCUUGGUGCUUGCAACUGGCUGAGUAGAAGAAAACUAGGGGAAUAUAAAGAUCAUAAUUCAUUUGAUCAAUCAAUGAAAGUUUAUAGGUUCUAAGAUGUUUUCGCGUUGGAAGUGAAGGUUUGACUCUUUCGGUGGAAAUGACCUGAACAUCAGAAGUGGCACUUUUGAUACUUCUUUUUGAGAAAAUCUGGACAUUAUUCGUGAUUAAUUUGGAAGCAGUUAUUCGGAAAAUGUUUUUGAGAGUCACUGCCAUCUUUUGCUGGCUUUGAGAAAUUAUUCACCAAAGUGAGUGUUGAGUGGCAUAUAGUGUAGUGCAGCCAAAUUCAUCAUAUUUAUUAUAAGCGUCUUGCAUAAUUGCUUCUGAAAUGAUCGGAUCUCCAAAAUAAUAAAGAAAAUCAAAGCGAAUCCCUUAGAAAAUAUACAAAGUCAACAAAUGGAGGUUAUUUCAAUAAUAGACAAUAUUAAAAAAAUUGUCGCUCUCCGGGUCAAUAGAUCAGUUUGAGAUAUAUCAAAUUCUAAUAAUUCUUGUUACUUCUUAUAUAAGAACAUAUAUUUAAUAUAUAGAAAGAAGGGGAACUAAUGAAUAAAAUAAAAUAAAGUCCAUUGGCAAAUUCCAUGAACCCGAAAGCUGUGCAUCUAUAUCUUAUUUAUUAAAAUUUACACAACACUUAAAUAUUUUAUGAAAAUAACACAAAUAUUUGAGAUUUGUACAUAAAUAUGCUAGUUACUAUUUUAUUUUAAUGUCACCACAAUAUUAAUUAGCAAGAAGUAACUUUUUGUAUCUCUGACGGAAUAAGUCGAAUUGGUUUGUCCCCUUAUAGUGAAAACAAGAGGUCACAUGUUCAUUUCCCUCUCCCACCAACCCUGGGAAAUAAAAUUAUUUAAUUGAUGUUUCAUGUAUAUAGGAUGGAAUAUGAAUUUAACUUUUGAUACUUUUGUUGAAAUUUGAAUUAUAUACAAGGACAUAAAUAUAUAUAUGAUGUGCUAGGUGAUUAGUGUGAUUGUGUAUAUGGGCGGGUGUGUGUUUGUUAUAUAUGCCACUGCCAAUUCCAACACAAUCUUGGACCGACAUUAGCAUGAAUUUAUUUUUGGAAUUACCCCGUACUCAGAGGGGUAUGGAUUCAAUAUUUGUUGAUGUGGAUCAAUUCUUGAAAAUGGCACACUUUAUUGCCUAUAAGAAGACUACAGAUGCCUUGACUGUUGCUUGUUUAUUCUUUAAAUAAGUCUAUAGAUUGCAUGGUUUACCGAGUUCUAUAGUAUUUGAUCGAGAUAUGCGAUUUCUUAGCCAUUUUUGGAAAACAUUAUGGAAUUUGACAAACACUCGCCUAAAUUUUGAAAGUACUUACCACCCACAAAUAGAUGGUUAAACUGAAGUUGUCAAUUGCUCUUUAGGAAACCAUCUACAUAGUCUAGUUGGUGAUAACUCGAAGAUAUGGGAUCAAAAGUUAUAUCAAGUCGAGUUUGCUUAUAAUCCUGUAGUUAAGCGUAGUACUGGUUUAAGUCUUUUUUUAGGUGAAUUAUGGAUAUAAUCCACGAGCUGCCAUUGACUUAACUCUAGUUCUAGAUUUAGUUUGCAAAAGCAGCAAGACAAAAGACUUUAUUAAGCAGCUUCAGAAGAUUCAUGAAGUUAUGCAAGAGUCUUUGAAGAAGACUACCGAAGGUUAUAAAAUUAAGGCAGACAAAAGGUUUCAAGCUUUAGAAUUUCAGGUGGGAGAUCUUGUUUGGCUGUCCUAACCAAAGAUAGAUUCUCAGUUGGUGACAACAACAAGCUUUCUGGCAGGAAAAUUGGACUUUUGGAGAUUAUAGAGAAGAUAAUUCUAAUGCCUACCAAUUAAAGCUUCCUAGUCACAUCCGCACUACAGAUGUAUUCAAUGUCAAGCAUCUUAUUCCUUGCAAAGGUGAUCAUGAUGAAGAUGUUGUUGCUGACAAUUCAAAUUUGAAGGUGAAUUCUCUCCAUCCUGGGGGAAUGGUGCGAAUUAGGAAUCCAUAUUAUAUUAGGAUAUGUUUCCUUAUUAACAAAGGUUUAAGACUUUUAUUUUCCUUUCUAGUUUAGGACUUUAUUUUCCUUUUCUUUAUGGUUUAGGAUAUCUACUACUAGUAUAAAUAUCCCUUCUUAUAGCCUUUGAAAGUAGAUUUUUGAGUUCAAUAAUAUUUCAGUUUUUGCAAAUCUCUAUGUGAGUUUUUUUAGUUUAAUUAAUUCCUAGUAUUCUCGGAAUUAACGAGUCUUAGCCCCCUAAAUUUGUGGUAUUAUUUUGAAUCAAUGUGAAUUUAGUUUGUUCUUUAUUCUAGUAUUCUCUAUAAUCAACAUAAUAUUUUGAAUAUGAAACUUCCGUUGCAUCAGGAAGUCUACUUAUUGGGGAAAAUAAUUUAUUUUAGAGGGAUUUUAUAUGUUGUACUCUUUUUCCCCACUAGGUUUUUAUCUAUAUAUCUCCAAAAUUAUUUGUUUCAAGACAUCAAUGAAUAAUGUACUCGUUUUCCUUUAUUAAUUUUUUUCCCAUAAGGGUAUUUUUUAGUAAAAGUUUUAAUAAGGCAUAUUCUUUUGUAAUGAACAUUCAAGGGAGAGUGUUUUGAAUUUAUUAAAAUAAAUGUGGAUGUUUAUAACAUACAUCUCUUAGUCUCCCUACUAUCUCCUACCAGCCACCUUUGGCUUCUCUAUAACUCUUACUAUCUCACAAAGAAUUAUGAUCUAUAAUGUUUCCAUUAAUUUCAUGGAGUGAUUAUGUAACAAUAAAAAAGAGUUCAUUUUUUUUUUGUUUUGUAUACAUUUGGAAUGAGUAAAAUCACUUUAUAGUAUAUUGCUCUCUCAUUUUACUUUUUAUCUUGUGUUGCUGGCUAAUAGUUCUUCUAAUAAUAUCUAAAUAUUAAUAGCGUAUAAUACUCUAAAUACAUACAAAAAAAUUAUAAAAAGAUCAUCACAACUCAACACUUUAGUUUAAAUUCAUUUAAGAAAUAGUUAAUCCUUAUAGAACAAGUAACAAAAAUUAUUAAAUACAUGCUAGCUUUGUUUUACCGAUCUUUAUAUAGAAAACUAUGACUAUGAAAGAUAUAUCCAAAUUCAAUAAUUCUUUUUACUUGUUCUUUUCAAAAGGCUUUUAUUUUAUAUAAUAACAUUGACAUUAAUUGACUAUUUUAUUAUUUCUUAAAUAAUCCAAGCAUGUAUGUGUAGCGGGCUUUUAUGUUCUUGGAAGUUUGUGAGCAAAAAUAUUAGUGAAUGUAACGUUGGAAGUUUGUGCUUACUCAAGAUUUUUUUUCUUUGACAAGUACUGAAGAAGAUUAUGUAAAUUGGAAAUGGAAUAUGUUGUUGAUAGUGUGCAGUAAAUAUGAUUUUAAAAAAAAAUUAUUUUAAUAAAAGUAAUAAAUAUAUUAUAGGUAUCAUAUAAGUGUGGGAUAAAAGGAUAAAUUUUAAUUUACAUCUACUUAAAAUGACAAUCUUUAAUUUACGUUUCAAAAGUUUGAAAACAUCAAUUUAUCUUUAUUUAUUAUUAAGAAGACAAAAAAUAAUUAUUUAUCAACGCACCCUAUUCGUCCUCAUCUUUUGAACGAAAAAAAGAGUAAAAUGAGGGUUUCACACUUUUAGGGGCUAAACUAAAGAUUGUCACUUUAUCAGGGGAAUGGAUUGAAGUUUAUUAGAGAAAAAAUCAAGUUAACUUGCAAAUUAAACCUCAAUAAUUAGUGUUUUCUAAACGCUUUAGUACCAUAACUUUUAAGUUACAACUAUUCAACCACCGUACCAAAUAGGGUCUAAGUUGAUAUUAAUAUUUAAAGUUUUUUUAAGGGUACAACAUCAAACAAGAAAUCUUAAGUUGAUAUGAAUUUUUAAAUUUCUUGUGUUGUGCAUUUAUAAUUGUAUAAAGUUAAUUUAUAUAAUGUUGACUUAUGAAUACUAGCUAUCUCAAAAUGUAUUAAGGUAUCAUUUACUACUUGAAUUAGAAUUGGAAUCCCAAGGAAUGAGAAUCAUGGGAUUGAGAGUGUAGAGUGAGAGUGACAAUAAGUUGUUUACUUACAUUGUAAUGGGUGUGGGAUAGGAAUCAAAAUCCCAUAUAUAUAUAUAUUUACUUUAUAUUAGAUUACGAGUGAAUUAUUUCAAAUUAUAGUUUUACCCUUAUUUAAAAAAUUGUAGUUUUUAAUUACAAAGUAAAAAAAAAAUAUGUAAAAUAAACUACUUAUUUUAUUAUUAAUUUAAAAAAAAAUAUGUAAAAUAAACUACUUAUUUUAUUAUUAAUUUUAACUAUAUAAAUUAAUAAUAAUUAUUAAUAUCCUCAAUUAUGUAAAUCAAAUUUUUUUUAUUAAUUUUAAUUUUUAUUAUGUAAACUAAAAAUUAAUGAUAAGAGCAAAAAAAUGAAAAGCUAUUAUUAAUAAAUAGUAAAAAAUAAUAUUUUCUUACAAUAAACUAUUUAUUAUCAUUAAUUAUUAAUAUUAAAUACAAAUAAUACUACUAAAAUUAAAUAAAUAUAAUAAUUUUAUAAUUUUCAAAUAAAGAUAGUAUAUAGUAAUAUUAUUAAUUCUCUAUGAAUAUAGUAAUAUUAUUUUUGAGUAAUUUUAACUUAGAAUUGAUGUAAAUUGUCAUUUUUAACUAAAAUAUAAUAAUAUUAUACUUAAAUAAGUUUAUUAUUGUUAUUUUUAAUAAAUCUAAUAUUAUUAAAUAAUACAAUAAUAUUAUUUCAAUGAAUGUGAUAUUUUAUUUUUAAAUAAAUGUAAAAUUAUUUUAAAUAUAAUUAUAUUAUAUUUAAUAAGGGAAGAGUAAAAAAAAAUAUGGGAGUGGAUUCUCAAUUUCUCACUGUUAAUGAGUAGGACACAAUGAGACUUUCAUUCCCCUCCUUAAAUGAAUAAGUAAACGUUAGAGUGAAAGAAUCAUAUUCCCCACUCCUAAUUCAACAAGUAAACAUAACACAAGUGUCAUGCAACUAUAUAAAAGUUAAUUUAUAUAAUGUAUGAAUUUCUUUAUUAUAUGAACUAACGUGCUAAUAUGCUCAAGGAAAUUAAUUCUGGGUUUACUUUGUUGCAAUAUGUGCUUAAGUAAAUUAUUGCUUCAUUUAAUAUUGGAAGUUUUCUUGAUAUUGAGGCACACUUAUUUUUACUAAUAGAUGUGAAAUUUAGUGGCCGCAAAUGAUAGUAAUUUUAAUACCAUAUCCAUUUUCAAAAUUUUUGCCAGACUUUUGUGCAUUCUAGAGAAGAAAAAGCAACUUUUUAGUUGUAGAAGAUUCUUCCAUAUCGAGAAAAAUUGGAGGAAAGAUUGAGCAAGUAAAGAGUUGAAAAGUGACGUUUAUUUAUUUGUUUUGGUUUUUGGUUUUUAGAUUGAAAUUAAUAACUAACCAAAGUUGGUUGGUGUGAGUGGCUCGGCACUCUCACUUCUUAAGAGAGAUCAGGGAUUCAAGUCCUGUUCUCGUAUGAAGUCACCACUUUGGCUAGUACUUUACCCCUUAUGGGCCGACCCGGUGUGAGCGGGGAUUAGUCUGGGUUGUGGUACGGGCUUAAAAGUUCCUCCCACAAUUAGAACCCACUCAGGAUCACCUUGUGAUUGAGACAAAAAAAAAUUAAUAACUAAUUGCAAUAUUAAUUUCGUUUGAUAUAACGUGAUUGGUUCAUUUCAUCAAAGUUAAUUCAUUGCUUUAUUUCAUGGCUCAUAAAGAAUAUAGAGUGGAGCUAUUGGCACCCCUCUUACAUCCUAUUAAAACAUGUUAUUAAGUGUACCCCAUUAAAUAAAAUUGGGAACGUGUGUAGCAACUAACGUGUGCAUGGAGCAACUAACGUGUACAUGUGCAGUAACUAUUGUAAUAUUCUCUUUGUAUAGCUUUUGUAUUCCAUUAGGAAUAGAAGGAGCAUAUUUAGGAGACUAUUUAGAGAUUUCGUAGCUAUCUUUGAUUUUGGUAUAGGUGUAUAUAUGAAUAGCCGUGUGAUAUACAACUAGGACACAAAAUUUCUUCCCCUCUCACAAACGCUUUCAUGGUAUCAGAGCCUUGAGCCGAACCUUCUAAUAAAUCAAAAUUUUUCCAUAGCCGGUGCUGAAGCUAAGCACCAUGGCUGGAAGGGAAAAGGAAAACCGAAAUAUGAUAGAUUCAUCUUCACUUUAUUAUCUUCAUCCCUUUGAUCAUACGGGCAUGAUUAUAUCCCCGAUGAAAUUAAACGGUGAGAAUUAUGAAGAGUGGUCACGCUCGAUGCGUAAUGCAUUUCGGGCAAGAAGAAAACAAUCGUUUUUGAAUGGCAAGAUUGAAAAACCUGCCGAAGAUGCUCUUGAAAUUGAAGGUUGGUGGAGUGUGAAUUCAAUGCUUGUAGGAUGGAUAUUUACAUCUUUUGAACCGCAUAUUCGUUCAACAAUCACCUACUAUGAUACUGUUAAGGAACUCUGGGAUGAAUUAAAAUUGAGAUUCUCAAUUGGGAAUGGACCACGGGUGCUGCAAUUCUGAUCCGAUCUGGCUAAAUGUAAACAAGAUGGGCAGAUAGUAGCAACCUAUUUUGGACGUCUCAAGAUUCUGUGGGAUGAACUCAGCAACUAUGUUCAACCUCUUGUCUGCUCUUGCGGCAAUUGGACCUGUAAUCUGUCGACGCAGUGGGAAAAACAAAGGGAAGAAGAAUGUGUUCACCAAUUCUUGAUGGGACUUGAUGAUACGAUUUAUGGGACGGUUCGUUCUAAUAUUAUUGCUUAAGAUCCUCUUCUCUCACAAAGUCGUGCUUAUGCCUUGGUAGUACAAGAGGAAAGACAUCAAACCAUUACAAGGACACGUGAUGUGCGUGUCGAAGCCGUGAGCAUUGCUAUCCAAGCACCCAAGGCACAACAAGGAGCUGCUGCGUCUUUUUCGAAUAAUGCAAAUGGAGAAAAAUCUGUGCGUAAACAUUGUGGCAAAACCGGUCAUGAGAUAUCAUCUUGCUUCAAGAUUAUUGGAUAUCUGGAGUGGUGGACUGCUAAUCAUGGAAAAGGUAACUCAGGCGGACGAGGGCAGAUAAAUAAUUCUACUGGGCGUAGUAAAUCGCAUGCUGCUGUGGCUAACGCUGCUCUUCUGCCUGCUAGUGGAGGAGGAAACCAGGCUAGUCCGACUCUGUCAGCACAAGAUCGAGCUGCCCUUGCAGCUACUCUCACGGAUGAUCAAUGGGCAACUAUGGUGAAUAUGCUUAAUUCACAAAAUAAAGAUGUUUCAAAAGAGAAGCUUUCUGGUAAGUGGAUUCUUGAUACAGGGGCUUCGAGACAUAUGACAGGAAGCAGAGAAUUAAUGACUGAUCUGCAAAAUAUUGGGCCUUCACCCAUAGGUCUUCCAAACGGCACAUGCUCUCAUGCUCAGGGCGAGGGCACUGUUGAGUUUGGAAACAAUUUGAGAUUGAAUCAUGUUCUAUAUGUACCUGAUCUUAAUUGCAAUUUAAUUUCUUUAGCUUGCUUGAUUAAUGAUUUGCAGUGCCUUGUCACUUUAACGGACAAACUGUGUGUGAUACAGGACCGCACUAUGAGGACUUUGAUUGAUGUGGGUGAGCAAGAAGACGGGGUCUAUAUUUUUCAGAGUCCGGCAUCAGCAAAGGCGUGUCGUGUCUCUGCAGAAGGAAAUUAUUAUCUGUGGCAUCGGCGGUUAGGUCAUGCUUCUAAUAAGAUUAUUUCUUUACUUCCUAGUGUUAGCAAAAUGGAAUGUCAGAAAUUACGUGAUGAACCAUGUGAUAUUUGUUUUAAAGCAAAACAAACUCGAAAUGUUUUUCCUAUUAGCAUGAAUAAAGCUAAUGAUAUGUUUGCUCUAGUGCAUUGUGAUGUGUGGGGUGCUUAUUGUAUUCCGUCUUCUUGUGGUGCCCAUUAUUUUCUUUCUAUUGUUGAUGAUUAUUCACAAGGAGUUUGGGUUUAUUUGAUGGCACAUAAAUCUGAGAUGGCUCAACUUUUCAAAAAAUUUUGUGCUAUGGCCAAGACUCAAUUCAAUAGGCAAGUUAAAAUGGUACGAAGUGAUCAUGAUACAUAAUUUAAAGUUUUGAAUUCUCUUUUUGCUGAAAAUGGCAUUGAAUUUCAAGCUUCUUGUGUGGAUACGCCUCAACAAAAUGGGCGUGUCGAACGGAAACACCGUCAUCUUCUCAAUGUUGGGCGUGCCUUAAGGUUUCAAGCCAACCUGCCUCUUAAUUUUUGGGGAGAAUGUAUUUUAAGUGCUGCUUAUAUAAUUAAUCACACUCCCACUCCUUUACUUGAUGGAAAAAAUCCUUAUGAAUUAUUGCAUGGUAAGCCUCCUCCGUAUGCUCAUUUUCGUAGUUUUGGGUGUUUGUGCUAUGCUCAUUAUAUUCCUCGUGACAAGAAUAAAUUCAAUCCUAGAAGUAGGCGGUGUGUAUUUGUCGGCUAUCCCCAUGGAAAUAAAGGUUGGAGAGUCUUUGAUUUGGAAACCAAUGAAUUUUUUGUGUCCCGUGAUGUGGUGUUUUUUUAGGAUACAUUUUCGUAUCAUGAUAUCUCAUUGGUUAGCUCUCCUGCUCAUGAUCCUUGCGUCACACAUGAUUCUUUACGAGUGCAACAUGUUGAGUCUCCUCUUUCUUCACUUGGUAGUAACAGAGACGUUUCCUCCAAUGACGCUCAGGAGGAACUGAAGUCUAAUGAUAGGGGGAGCCCAUCCUCCCCUCAUGCAGUGUCCGAUUUUUCCUCUGAUUUAGUUGCCCUCCAUGACAGGGGGAGCUCUUCUUAUGAUGUUUCACUCUAUUUGCCAUCAUUUGCUGAUAAGAAUAUUGGUAUCUCUGUUCGUCAGAGUACACGACCGAAAAUUCCCAACACUCAUAUGCAUGAUUUUAUGUGUCAUACAGCUCGAGUUAUAGACCCCGCCUUCUUAUCCCCUGCACCACCAUUGUCCUCAGGUACGCCUUAUCCCAUAGCUAAAUUUGUGACUUGUGCUAAUUUUUCUACAAAUCAUUCUCGUUUCCUAGAAGCUAUUACUACUCUUACUGAGCCCACUAGGUAUUCUGAGGCUGUAAAAGACCCCCGUUGGCGUGAAGCUAUGGCCAAGGAGAUUGACUCUCUCGAAAAAAAUGAGACUUGGACACUAGCCGAUCUUCCUCCGGGCAAAAAGGUUAUUGGUUGCAAAUGGGUCUACUGCAUCAAGUACCAUUCCGAUGGCAGUAUUGAGAGGUGCAAAGCUCGACUAGUUAUCCUUGGUAAUAACCAGAUUGAAGGGGUGGAUUAUAAUGAGACAUUUACACCAGUUGCUAAAAUAGUUUCUGUUUGAACUCUCUUAGCUGUUGCCGUUGCUCGAGAUUGGGAGUUACAUCAGAUGGAUGUAAAUAAUGCUUUUCUUCAUGGUGACCUUGCUGAGGAAGUGUACAUGCAACUUCCUCCAGGUUUUUCGACUACUUCUUCGGGUAAAGUAUGUCGUCUUCGUAAAUCUUUAUAUGGUCUUCGUCAAGCCCCUCGUAAUUGGUUUGCUAAGCUUGCUGGUGCCUUGAAAUCUUUUGGAUUUGACCAAUCAUAUGCCGAUUACUCUCUUUUUACAUUUGCACGUCAUGAUAUUUCUAUUUACGUGCUUGUUUAUGUUGACUUGAUUAUUGCGGGGAAUAAUACUACUGCUAUCUCUGCUUUUAAAGCCUAUUUAAGCCGUUGUUUUCACAUGAAGGAUUUGGGUGUUCUUAUGUAUUUUCUAGGCAUCGAGAUCUCUCAAGGACCUACUGGCAUGUUCUUAUCUCAACGCAAACACACGUUGGAUAUUUUGGCUGAAACCGGUCUUCUUGGUGCAAAACCAGCUCCAUUUCUUAUUGACCAAAAUCAUCGUCUUGCUCUUGAUGAUGGUCCUAUGUAUUCUGAUCAUGUAUGGUAUUGCAGGUUCAUUGGUCGCUUAAUUUAUUUGACUAUUACUCGUCCCGAGCUUUGUUAUUCAGUUCAUGUUCUGGUUCAAUUUAUGCAAUGUCCUCGUGAGAUUCAUUGGGAGGCCGCUACUCGUGUCUUGCGCUAUCUAAAAGGUCAUCCAGGUCAAGGUAUUUUCUUACGACGGAAUAGUGCCCUUCAGCUUAUUGCCUAUUGUGACUUGGAUUGGGGCGCUUGUUCUCUUACCCGUCGUUCUCUUACUGGUUAUUUCAUGUUUUUAGGUGGUCCUCCCAUUUCCUGGAAGACAAAGAAACAACAUACUGUCUUUCGUUCUUUGGCUGAAGUAGAGUAUCGGUCUAUGGCUUUCACUUGUUGUGAAUUAACUUGGUUGAAGGCUUUGUUAAAGUCUCUUGGUGUUUCGCAUUCUCUACCGAUGCGUCUUUACUGUGAUAGUCAGGCAACACUUCAUAUUGCUACCAAUUCUGUUUUUCAUGAGCGCACUAAGCACAUUGAAAUUGAUUCCCACUAUGUGCAUGACCAAAUCCAUGCUGGUAAUAUUGUUGCUCCUCAUGUUCGUACUUCAGAGCAACUUGCAGACAUUUUCACAAAGGCGCUUGGUCGACACCAGUUUGAGAAUAUCCUUCGCAAGUUGGGCAUUCGUGAUCUUCAUGCUCCAACUUGAGGGGGAGUAUUGGGAAUGUGUGCAGCAACUAACGUGUGCAUGAAGCAACUAACGUGUGCAUGUGCAGUAACUAACGGGUGCAUGGAGCAAUUAACGUGUGCAUGUGUUGUAACUAUUGUAAUAUUCUCUUUGUAUAGCUUUUGUAUUCCAUUAGGAAUAGAAGGAGCUUUUGUAUUCCAUUAGGAAUAGAAGGAGCAUAUUUAGGAGACUAUUUAGAGAUUUCGUAGCUAUCUUUGAUUUUGGUAUAGGUGUAUAUAUGAAUAGCCGUGUGAUAUACAACUAGGACACAAAAUUUCUUCCCCUCUCAACAACGUUUUCAAAUAAUAUUAGAAAAUUCAUCAUGACUAUUAACACACUCUUUAAUUCCAAAAAUAUCAUUAUUUCAGUUAUUCUAAAUAACUUUCUCUCUGCUAAAAUCCCAAAUACAGGUAUCUUGUUUCUUGUUCUCUUUCUCUCUUUUUAAAUAGUUUUCUUAUAAGUCAAUUAUUUCCUUAAGGAUUGGUUUUAAACUCUAAAUUAAAAUGUACAUUUGAUUCAAAUUAAAGAUGAGAAUAUUGAAAUAAAUUUUUAGAUAUUUUGGUACUUUUACCUUAUGACGGUAAAAUAAUCAUAUUAAUUUAUGUUAAAGCAAUGUUAUUGUUUAAAUAUAAUAAAAAAUAGUCUUAAAAAAUAAAUGAAUAUCAAAUAAAUCACUACUAUAUCAUUAAAAUAUGAAAAAAUUUGUAUAAAAAAUUAUUCAAGCUAAAGUAAAUUUUUAGAUAUUUUGAAACUUUAUGAUGAGGGUAAAAUAGUCAUAUUAAUUUAUGUUAAAGUAACCUUAUUGAUCAAAUAUAAUAAAAAAAUAGUGUAAAAAAUGAAUAUGGAUUUAAUUGAAUAAUUUUUUUCUAAAAAUUUCUCUUAAUUUGAAUUUUUUUAAAAAUAAUGUAAACUUGUUGUAAUAAGUUUUGAAAAUCGGGUGGAUUUAUAAAAUUUGUGGAGUGGAAUAUCACCACCUGAAUAUAAAUGUAUUCGUCAAAUGGGUAAAUUUUGGAUUAUCCCUCUCAUGAAUUAACUAUUUCAAACCACUCGUUUACUUUGAAAACUUCAAGUUGCCCCUAUUUUUGUCCAAAAGAUUAAGAAAAAGAGGGUUCAAUCGAUGAUUUUUUUGUCUUCUUAACAAAAUAAAAUGGGAAUAAAUUGAGGUUUUUAAAAGAAAGAGUUGAUUUAAAAAUAGUCAAUUUAUGAGGAGAUAAUUCAAAAUUAACGAUUUACAAAGAGUUUGGUCUUAAUUUAAUAAAUAACCGAUUAACUCUUUUUGUUUUUAUCAUUAUAUUUUUGUUUUAGUAUUUUCUUUGACUGACCAAUUAUGAAUAAAUUCUAGUGAGAUAGAGGAUUAAAAAAUCAAUUUCUUACUAUGUUGAUUAAAACAUCAAUUUCUUACUAUUAUAUGUAAGUGGGAAUUCUUGAAUAAUUUCUUUGUGAAAUGUUAAUUAAUUAAUUUAUUUUAUUUAAAAGGUAGAAGGUGAGCAAAAUUUAUAAAAGAAAAAAAUCAUAAAUGAACAAGAGAGAAGAAUUAUAAUUUACAAAUUAACAACUCUUUUAUUCAAAACAAGUACUUGUUGAUACUAGCAUCCAGAAUAUACAUCUCAAUCACAACCCACGGAUUGUUGACCACUGCCAAAUACUCAACUCACAACUUCAAAGUAAAAUGACAAUGCAAGCUUCCAUUAGAGCAGCUUUUGUAAUCAAAACAAUGGAAUCUCAUCAACCAUCAAUCGUUUCCUAGGGCAUGGUCAUCAGUGAAGAAAAUCAUUUAGCAUACAAAGCUUCAGUAGUGAGCUACAGGGGCUUAAACAAAAGUCAGUACAUGAAAGAAGACGUGCUAGAAGAAACCAAGCAUCAACCCCAUAGAGGUAUUCCAUGGCAUGGAUUGUAACUUAUAAGUCUGGUAAAUCGCUGAUCCGUUGAUGGUGUUAUGAGCACUCAAAUAAAUGAUUGCUUUUCUCAACGUUGGAAUGUUUUUUAAACAUCAAUGUAUUUUUUGCUCUAAGUAAGGCACACUUAUCUUUACUAAUAACUGUAAAAUUUGGUAGAGGAAAAAAUAGUUGUAAUUCCAUAACUAUUUUGUAAAUCUUUUGCCAGAAUUUUGUGUACUCUAGAGAAAAGUUGGAGCAAGUAAAGAGCUCAAGAGCCUUUUUUUUUUUUUUCCUUUGCUUUCUGAGGAGAAGAGGAGACAGCGAAUUUGAUUUUAUAUUGAAUAUAGAGUCUAGUGCCAUAAAUAUGUGAUUUGAAGAAUCCAUUUCUCAGAUUUUCUCCAUUAAAUUUAAACUUAAGAGAAAGAUAUGGCGGCGAUGCUCCGUCAUAAGGUAUGAUAGAACACCAUACAAACUGAUUCAAGUAAAAUAAAAAUGAGUAUUUAAUUUUACAAGGUAAGCUUAAGGAUAAGACUAACCAGCCUCCUGGACAUAGCUCGAUGGUUGUGAAUACACAGUCACAAAGUUUGAGUAAUAAUUGAAAAAAUAUUGGUAUUUAGAGGGUGGGAUUUCUCAUCCCAUCCAAACCUAUAAGUAAAUAGUAUUUUAUUAUAUUAUUUGAUUAAUUUACAUUGUUCAUUAGGAAUUAUAUGAUUGGUACAUUUGGCCAAAGUUCAUUGCUGUAUCCCAUGGCAUAUAAAAAAUAAGAUGGUGUUGUUUGCAUAGAAUUACUGCUUAGUAAUAUGUUGCCAUUAAUGGUAAUUAAUUUUGAUAUCUAAUCAUCAGAUAUUUCAAACUCUGAAUUUUAAAUGCUUAUCUUCAGUCUGGACCUGAUUUUUUAAGUGAGAAUUCCAUUUAUGGUGUUGGCUGUAAAGAGAUAACAACAAGCACCCUAUGUCCACUACUGUAAAGGAACUAAAGUAUUUUAAACUAAUUUGUUUGCCUGGAAUAAUCAAUUGAUGGAAAAAAUAUAGUAAUGAAAUUGAUAAUUAUGAGUAAUGCUACGUACAUAGUUAGGAAUUAUGACUAGAAUUUAAGUCAAUGCUUGUUACUUCAGUCUCUCAAGCAAUAGCCUUAUUCUAUCUACCAAGGCAAUGUACUAUUAGGCUAAACUCUUGCUUCUUAGUCUUAAGACAACCAUUUUACAUGUAUAUUUAAGUGCGAAUAAAUUAUCAUAAUAUAUGAUUGUAAGUUUGGAACUCUUUAUUAUAUUACUUUUGAAUAUAACCCUAGUGUUUUUUAAUUAUAUAUGCAACUUUUAAACUUUUUAAUUUGUAAAUUCUCACUUAAAAUAUAUGAGUUGGUAACAUGGACAAAGCCAUCAACUUGCAGCUGGGGAUAAAUAAAUUAAAGUCGAUGCUAGUUAACUUCUAUAUAUCAAGCAACAUCAUCGACUUACAUAUUAUAUUUCAGUGACACUAAGGCUACAAUAAAAAAUGACCAAAAAUUCGAUACCAUGAAUAUUAUAUAUUUGAGUGACAAUAAAGUUAUAAUACCAAAAGAAUAAAAAUGUUUAUUUUCUUGUUUAUUAUAUUUUGAAAAAAGGAUAUCGGCACUCCUAUAAUUUAUUGAAAUGGUCGUAGAGACCUCUAUAUUUUCAAAAAUGGUCACAUAAGUAACUUUUGGGACAAAACUUUUUUUUCUUGACAAAUCUUAAGGGUCUAUGUGAAUUUGUGGCUAUUUUUGAACCAAAAAAAAAAAAGAGUUUAUGUGUCUUAAAACGGUUUGUACUUUGUAUGGCAAUUUCUAAACAUAAGAAAGAGUAUGUAUAUCUUGAAAAUGGGUUUGUAUAAUUAUUUAUUUGUAUAUUAUUUAUGAAAAUAAGAGAGUCUCCAGGACUAUUUCCUCAAAUUAAGAGGAUGUUUCUGUCCUUUUCCCUUACAUUUUUAACAUAGGAUGGUAAUGAAUAAUUAAAAAAGGGACCCAAGUAAUAAAUAUGAGAAACAUAUCUAAUUAUCUUUCUCACUUUGAAUUUUUUUAAUAUACACAACACAAUGAAAGUGCUGCUUGAACCAUAAGACUUUCAACCAGAAAAUCUCGAUUUGAAGAUACCUUCAAAAUGUUGGCACUUUUUUAAUUGACUUAUUUUGAUAGCUUAAUUGGUAAAUUUCAAAUUAAAAUUGAAAGGUUAUCAUAUGAAACACUUGGACUUUUUAAACUAAAAUUGAAAGAUAAUAUUAUGAAACCCCUGGACUUUUCAAAAGCCAAUCAGAAUGGAAAAUGAUGGACAAAUCGAUCAUUUCUGGUAACAAGAUCUUGUGCAUGACCUUAGAUGAUCCCAACAAUGUAAACUCGUUUUUCUUUUUAUUAUUAACCAUCAAUUGUUACUAUAUGUUUUUUUUUAUCAUAGAAUCAGAUAAAAUAACGUUGACAUCCUUUCAAUCAAACGGAAGCUUAAUUAUGAAGCUACUUUCUUAUUGCUGUAUAUGUGUUAUCAUAUUUGUUUUCAUAGGCGUAGGGCUAGAUCUAUUGUAAUUCUAAAAUGUACCACUUUUCAAGGAGUAGGUGGGAUUGAAAAACUGUAUUAAACUGCUGGGACAACAUCAUGUGUUUAUAAUAAUUAUUAAACAUAUGCAUUCUACUCUUCAAACUUACAACACUUCCGUAGCUUAUUUUAUCAAACACUUAACUUUUGCAUUUGUCCCGUUGAUUUUCUCGUCAAUACCAGCAAAAGUGAAUUAUUUCAUAAGCAACCAUCCGAAUCUAUCCCUAUAUAAGUAUUAUAAAUAAUUUUUUCUGAAAAUUAUUUUAUUUCUAGAAAAAUAUAUUUUGAUAUUAUUAAUCUAUCAUGCAAAUUUGAUUCAACACUACGAUUUGUUCGCCAAUGACUGACUUUAGAUUUCUAUAAGAAAUAAUAUAUAUAUAUAUAUAUAUAUAUAUAGACACACACACACACAAUAUAACUACUUACGAGGAUCCUUUAAUAAAAUUUGAUGCCAAAAUAUGAUACAAUAAUUCCCCAUACAUCAUAUGAUUGCUGGUUUUUCGCUGAUCGAAGUAUGCAUACAUAACAUGAUUUUAUUUAAAGAGAAGUAUGAUAAUAAUGAGAUACAGUUAUUGUACAAUAAUCUCAACUUUGUAAGCAUAUUACUAUUCUAACUAGAAUAUAAUUCAUUCUUUUAUGCCAAGCAAGAUAAAUAAAAUUAACUCCUUACUUCAUUAUAAAUAUGCUAGGGUUAGGGGAAGCAUAAGCCGUGAUGCUAGUUUCUUGUUCAAAAUUUUCCAUGUCCUCCUUAAACAUUACCACCAAUGCUUCUAUUCCUUCACUGUCACUUGCGCUUGAUAAAAUAGCAAGAUCAGGUAACAAUAUGGGCCCGAGACUAAACCAAACAGGCUUCCCCCAACCAAAAUCAACUUCAUCACAAGGCAAUCCAACCAUACUAGUCAAAAGAAAUGACCUUGAAUCUUCCCCUACUU
rnacentral:lncRNA from 1 species